GACGAACGCUGGCGGCGUGCCUAAUACAUGCAAGUAGAACGCUGAAGAGAGGAGCUUGCUCUUCUUGGAUGAGUUGCGAACGGGUGAGUAACGCGUAGGUAACCUGCCUUGUAGCGGGGGAUAACUAUUGGAAACGAUAGCUAAUACCGCAUAACAAUGUAUGACACAUGUCAUUUAUUUGAAAGGGGCAAUUGUUCCACUACAAGAUGGACCUGCGUUGUAUUAGCUAGUAGGUGAGGUAAUGGCUCACCUAGGCGACGAUACAUAGCCGACCUGAGAGGGUGAUCGGCCACACUGGGACUGAGACACGGCCCAGACUCCUACGGGAGGCAGCAGUAGGGAAUCUUCGGCAAUGGGGGCAACCCUGACCGAGCAACGCCGCGUGAGUGAAGAAGGUUUUCGGAUCGUAAAGCUCUGUUGUAAGUCAAGAACGGGUGUGAGAGUGGAAAGUUCACACUGUGACGGUAGCUUACCAGAAAGGGACGGCUAACUACGUG
rnacentral:rRNA from 1 species